GUGAGUAACACGUGGGUAACCUACCUAUAAGACUGGGAUAACUUCGGGAAACCGGAGCUAAUACCGGAUAACAUUUAGAACCGCAUGGUUCUAAAGUGAAAGAUGGUUUUGCUAUCACUUAUAGAUGGACCCGCGCCGUAUUAGCUAGUUGGUAAGGUAACGGCUUACCAAGGCGACGAUACGUAGCCGACCUGAGAGGGUGAUCGGCCACACUGGAACUGAGACACGGUCCAGACUCCUACGGGAGGCAGCAGUAGGGAAUCUUCCGCAAUGGGCGAAAGCCUGACGGAGCAACGCCGCGUGAGUGAUGAAGGGUUUCGGCUCGUAAAACUCUGUUAUUAGGGAAGAACAAAUGUGUAAGUAACUGUGCACAUCUUGACGGUACCUAAUCAGAAAGCCACGGCUAACUACGUGCCAGCAGCCGCGGUAAUACGUAGGUGGCAAGCGUUAUCCGGAAUUAUUGGGCGUAAAGCGCGCGUAGGCGGUUUCUUAAGUCUGAUGUGAAAGCCCACGGCUCAACCGUGGAGGGUCAUUGGAAACUGGGAAACUUGAGUGCAGAAGAGGAAAGUGGAAUUCCAUGUGUAGCGGUGAAAUGCGCAGAGAUAUGGAGGAACACCAGUGGCGAAGGCGACUUUCUGGUCUGUAACUGACGCUGAUGUGCGAAAGCGUGGGGAUCAAACAGGAUUAGAUACCCUGGUAGUCCACGCCGUAAACGAUGAGUGCUAAGUGUUAGGGGUUUCCGCCCCUUAGUGCUGCAGCUAACGCAUUAAGCACUCCGCCUGGGGAGUACGACCGCAAGGUUGAAACUCAAGAGA
rnacentral:rRNA from 1 species